rnacentral:rRNA from 1 species
GAUGAACGCUAGCGGCAGGCUUAACACAUGCAAGUCGAGGGGCAUCGGGAAUUGUGCUUGCACAAUUUGCCGGCGACCGGCGCACGGGUGCGUAACGCGUAUGCAACCUACCCAUAACAGGGGGAUAACACUGAGAAAUUGGUACUAAUACCCCGUAAUAUCAUUUGGGGCAUCUUAGCUGGUUGAAAGUUCCGGCGGUUAUGGAUGGGCUUGCGUUGUAUUAGCUAGUUGGUAAGGUAACGGCUUACCAAGGCGACGAUACAUAGGGGGACUGAGAGGUUAACCCCCCACAUUGGUACUGAGACACGGACCAAACUCCUACGGGAGGCAGCAGUGAGGAAUAUUGGUCAAUGGACGCAAGUCUGAACCAGCCAUGCCGCGUGCAGGAAGACGGCUCUAUGAGUUGUAAACUGCUUUUGUAUGAGGGUAAAAAGUGAUACGUGUAUCACCUUGAAAGUAUCAUACGAAUAAGGAUCGGCUAACUCCGUGCCAGCAGCCCCGUAAAAC